UAAAAAGUUAGUUAAAAUAUAAUAUAAGAUUGUCAGUCUUAUGUUACUAAUGAAAUUUAGUACUUUUUAU
rnacentral:tRNA from 1 species